UGGGGAAUAUUGCACAAUGGGGGAAACCCUGAUGCAGCAACGCCGCGUGAAGGAAGACGGUUUUCGGAUUGUAAACUUCUAUCAAUAGGGAAGAAAGAAAUGACGGUACCUAAAUAAGAAGCCCCGGCUAACUACGUGCCAGCAGCCGCGGUAAUACGUAGGGGGCAAGCGUUAUCCGGAAUUACUGGGUGUAAAGGGAGAGUAGGCGGCAAGGUAAGCGAUAUGUGAAAGCCUUAGGCUUAACCUGAGGAUUGCAUAACGAACUAUCUAGCUAGAGUACAGGAGAGGAAAGCGGAAUUCCUAGUGUAGCGGUGAAAUGCGUAGAUAUUAGGAAGAACACCAGUGGCGAAGGCGGCUUUCUGGACUGAAACUGACGCUGAGGCUCGAAAGCGUGGGGAGCGAACAGG
rnacentral:rRNA from 1 species